GACGAACGCUGGCGGCGUGCUUAACACAUGCAAGUCGAACGGAAAGGCCCUGCUUUUGUGGGGUGCUCGAGUGGCGAACGGGUGAGUAACACGCGAGUAACCUGCCCUUGACUUUGGGAUAACUUCAGGAAACUGGGGCUAAUACCCCAUAGGAGCUCCUGCUGCAUGUUGUGGGUUGGAAAGUUUCGGCGGUUGGGGAUGGACUCGCGGCUUAUCAGCUUGUUGGUGGGGUAGUGGCUUACCAAGGCUUUGACGGGUAGCCGGCCUGAGAGGGUGACCGGGGACAAGGGGACUGAGAGACGGCGCAGACGGGUACGGGAGGCAGUAGGGGGGAGUAUGGCAGAAUGGGGGGAAGUCUGAGGCGGAGACGCCGCGUGCGGGAAGACGGGCUUCGGGGGGUAAACAGAUGUGGCCGGAGACGAAGCGUGAGUGACGGUAAUGGGUAAAGAAGCACCGGCUAACUACGUG
rnacentral:rRNA from 1 species